GAACACAUAUAGCUGGAAUGCAGAUGGGAUCUGUGCUACUUACGCUAGCCAUGGGAUGAUUAGAACAAGAUAAGAGACAUGAGGAAGACUUCUUCAAGGAGGUGCUCAAGCCAUGUUUUGGAAAAGAGAACUCAAGGUCUGGCAGGGAGAAAGGAGCAAGACUUUGAGUCUUUGCUUCAGAUGCAGAUCAAGAUGUGGCAACCUGUUGUGGAGAACUGGGUCCCUUGAGCCUGUGCUGUCUCUUUUUUUCUGGUGGCUUUGUCAUUUGGAACAAUGCAUAAUGGGCUGGAGGCUGAGAAACUCUGAGCUGAGGGCAAGUAGAGCUGCAGCUGUCUGGCGCCACUGUAAUGCUGUCUCCUCCUCUGAGUGAGUUCAUCCUGGAAACAUUUUCUCCCAUAAGACAUGCACAGGUCUUACGUUUACAUGUUUCACUGAAAGAAAUUUGAUUCCACUGCUGGGAUGACAAGGAAGACUGAAGAAACCUAAUCCUAGGUGCUGCCACUGGGACAAACAAGAAGCACCAGACACAGUGCUGUUUUAGGGUGGGGCAGAAUUAUGCUGAGGGAAAAGUUAUUAUCACUCUUUAAGGCCAAGGAAACCACAAUUUUUAAAGAAGCUUCUAGAAAUUCUACCCAGUAGAAAAUAAAGAUAAACUUCU
rnacentral:lncRNA from 1 species